UCAAGGAGUUCCUGAGAUUAGAAUCACAAGCGGAUGAACCAGACCCAAGAGUAGCAGUUUUGAAAGGGCUGGAGAAAUAUAGGCUCCCAAUAAUUGCCAUUCUCAAAAAAAGAAAAGCAGUUCCUCUGUAUAUGGAAACCUUACUUGAACUCUAUGACCACGAUGAAAGUCAAUGCGAGUAAUGUCUAGUUCAAUUUGUUCAUUUCAGUAGCUGGUAGCAAUUUAAUAUAUGUAUCUUUUCAUCAUUAGCAAUGCAUCUUUCACUUUUAUAAGCCUAGUAUUCAUGAAACUAUGCUGCAUGCAAAAACCAAACAUUGUAUUAAGCAUGACCUAUCUAACUGUAAUGCUUGCACCAAUUUCUAUAAAGGUACUAAUUUAAUUGUUAAAUUCCUGCUCUUCUAUCAAAUUUUUGGCUGAGUGCUAUGGCUAAAUAAUUGUUUGCAGCAUAAGUGAUGUUAAAGAUUUUAAUAGGUGUAAAGCAUCUCUCUCUCUCUCUCUCUCUCUCUCUCUCUCUCUCUCUCUCUCUCUCUCUCUCUCUCUCUCUCUCUCUCUCUCUCUCUCUCUCUCUCUCUCUCUCUCUCUCUCUCUCGUAAGGAAAGACAUUAUUUCUAGUGUAAAUAAACCCAAUAGGCUGUCCAAUUUGAAAUUUAAAAUGUAAAUAUUAUCAAUCUUUUUAGAAUUGUUAGCUGCAUCCUCUUCCCUUGCAGUCCAAUAAGACAGGUCACUAAUUCGCGUGGAGAUAGAAUUCUUGGAGUCACCUUUGCCGGCGCUAGCGCAAGUGCAAACAGUCUGAUAAAGGUUUGUUCCAUGGUUGUGGUGAAGUUCAGGACUUCUCACACUGUUUUAGUGGAUAUGAUGAGAAGAAUCGGGGGUUCGGAACAUCAGUGCGUUAUGUCGGGGCAUGUAGGUUCGGCUGGGGUUAUCUUUCUUUCUUUCUUUUUUUUUUUUUUUCGAUCAGUACUCAUCAUAUUCUUACGAGGACUUGCUAGACAAAGCAUUAUUGCAUUAUGAUAUUACCCAAAUAGUGUCUCAAGUAAAAAACAUAACCGCAUACUGGAACAAAAGAUUUGCUGCUGUGACACAAAGGACAAAAAUCAUUAGUAUACUGGUCAUUCUGAGCAUUCAAUCAAAAUGCUUGUCAUUCAUAUAAUUAGUAGAACCAUCGAGGAGCUUUAUUUUUGUUAAUUCUUAUGUGAUAAAGCAAUAAUUACAGGAGACUUUUAAAAGAUUGGUAAUCAAAUUAGUGGACUGUCCUAUUGGAUGUGACCAUAUCUUCACUUUUUCCUUACACAGUUAAUUUUCUUUUGUUUAUUUGAUUUACUUAUUAUCAUAUUUAUUUAUAUAUUUAUUUAUUUGCACCAGAUGCUUGCUUAGUUAUAUUGGGGUUACUUCACCUGCUCGGAGAAAGGAAAGACUCCAUUUUUACUAAGGUACCAGAAGAAGAACUAAGAACAGGACAGUCUAGUGUGUAUUUGAUGGUGCACCUGUAGCUGAACCAACAUGUAUUUCUAAGGCUGUAGUCUCAUUGGUAGCAGGGCUUUGUGUUUAAUAUUGAACACCCAAAAAAUUGUGAACAUUUCCUCCGUUUCACAACAUCCCAUCUCUUAGGUAUCAAGUAUGACAAAGGUAACACUUCAAAAACAAGAUCUCUACUUGUAAAACUCAAUGAAGUAAAGACAGAAUUGAGCUACAAAAAUGCAUAAAUCUGCUUCCAAAUAUAUUCAACUCCACACAUAAUGCCUCUCUCUCUCUCUCUCUCUCUCUCUCUCUCUCUCUCUCUCUCUCUCUCUCUCUCUCUCUCUCUCUCUCUGUCACACACACAAA